rnacentral:rRNA from 1 species
GCGUGCUUAACACAUGCAAGUCGAGCGGAAAGGCCCUUCGGGGUACUCGAGCGGCGAACGGGUGAGUAACACGUGRGUAAUCUGCCCCUGGCUUCGGGAUAGCCACCGGAAACGGUGAUUAAUACCGGAUAUGACUACUUCCUGCAUGGGAUGGUAGUGGAAAGUUUUUCGGCCAGGGAUGUWCUCGCGGCCUAUCAGCUUGAUGGUGAGGUAAUGGCUCACCAUGGCUUCGACGGGUAGCCGGCCUGAGAGGGUGACCGGUCACACUGGGACUGAGACACGGCCCAGACUCCUACGGGAGGCAGCAGUGGGGAAUAUUGGACAAUGGGCGGAAGCCUGAUCCAGCAACGCCGCGUGAGGGAUGACGGCCUUCGGGUUGUAAACCUCUUUCGGUAGGGACGAAGCGCAAGUGACGUAC